UAUGACGUAUGCAACUUUUUACCGAAAAUCUUGCUUCAAUUAAAAAUGACAAAAUAGUUUAUUUGUAUUAUGAAGAUUUAGUGGAGGGUUUUUUGGUUUUCCUUAAUUUUUAUAAUAGUUGGAGAAAAAUGGACAAAUAUAUGACAAUAAGUUCUAUUUAUUGUAUUUUAGUUAAAAAAUAAUUGAAGAGAUUUUAAAAUUUCACAGAAUACUUUAUUCAUAUUUUCUAGAACAGUUUGUAUACUCAAAUCAUUUUGAACUAUUAAUAAUUAUUUGGCAUUCUUGUGUUUAAUUGUUUUAAUGUAGAUAAAAAGUUGUUUUGGCUGAGCACCACUGGCUGAGUAUACCUACAAAGUAUAGAGUUUAAAAUGUAAUUUUUAUAAUACAGCGGCAAUACGGUAUAACCAUCAUUGAUUUACAAAUAGUGGAGGAUACUGAAAAACAUCGAGAGAAAGUAACAAAAAUUAAAAUGAAUUUAACCAUACACAUUUAUUUUUAGAAUGAACUUAGUAUUGAAAGAUCUCGAAUACAGUAUCAGAUUCAGAACUCACAAUUGGUAGGGGAUAACACACGUCAUGCGUUACAAACGGCCAUAGCUUCUUUUUCUUCGAGUAAUUCUUCAGGUCAGUAAACCUAUAUUUGGAACCCUGUACUACUGCAAGUAUAGUGUCCUAAAUGACUAAAUGUAUUAUUAAGUUGUAUGUAAAUAUGAAUCCCUUCAUGAGGUAAUGUCGUAUGUUGAUAACUCAAAAUUAAAUAUGACCGACAGAUUAUCAUUACACUAUGUUUUUGUCUAUUUUGUCUAGUUGAUUUCAGGAAAAGUGGUCCUCGACGGUGGCGCGCCUAGUAGACUAUUUGACUCAGUGGCUCUAAAACAAGCGUGAAACAAAGCACGGCAAGUUUAAAUUAAUUACUUAUUUUAUAUUAUCUUAUAUAUGAUUAUUUUUACAUCGUAAUUUAAAUGCAGUAUUUCAUAAUACAAAUUAUGAACAAUUCAUCUAAUUUAGUAUCACGAUUUUUAUUUGUCUGCAAAUACAAAUAAUACAAUUAAUUAAUAUAACGUUAAAAAAAUAUGAGAACCACUGGUUUGUAGAAGUACCGCC